rnacentral:rRNA from 1 species
AACGAACGCUGGCGGCAGGCCUAACACAUGCAAGUCGAGCGCGACCUUCGGGUUGAGCGGCGGACGGGUUAGUAACGCGUGGGAACGUGCCUUUCUCUACGGAAUAGCCUCGGGAAACUGAGAGUAAUACCGUAUACGCCCUUCGGGGAAAGAAUUUCGGAGAGAGAUCGGCCCGCGUUGGAUUAGGUAGUUGGUGGGGUAAUGGCCUACCAAGCCGACGAUCCAUAGCUGGUUUGAGAGGAUGAUCAGCCACACUGGGACUGAGACACGGCCCAGACUCCUACGGGAGGCAGCAGUGGGGAAUCUUAGACAAUGGGGGCAACCCUGAUCUAGCCAUGCCGCGUGAGUGACGAAGGCCCUAGGGUCGUAAAGCUCUUUCGCCAGGGAUGAUAAUGACAGUACCUGGUAAAGAAACCCCGGCUAAACUCCGU